rnacentral:rRNA from 1 species
UAAGGAAUAUUGGACAAUGGAGGCAACUCUGAUCCAGCCAUGCCGCGUGAAGGAAUAAGGCCCUAUGGGUUGUAAACUUCUUUUAGACGGGACAAAACCCCUUUACGUGUAAAGGGUUGAUGGUACUGUCAGAAUAAGCAUCGGCUAACUUCGUGCCAGCAGCCGCGGUAAUGCGAAGGAUGCAAGCGUUAUCCGGAAUUAUUGGGUUUAAAGGGUGCGUAGGCGGACUAAUAAGUCAGUGGUGAAAGCCUGCAGCUUAACUGCAGAAUUGCCAUUGAUACUGUUAGUCUUGAGUACAGUUGAGGUAGGCGGAGUGUGUCAUGUAGCGGUGAAAUGCUUAGAUACGACACAGAACACCGAUUGCGAAGGCAGCUUGCUAAGCUGUAACUGACGCUGAGGCACGAAAGCGUGGGGAGCAAACA